UUGAAAAUGUGCCUCCUGG
rnacentral:piRNA from 1 species